rnacentral:rRNA from 1 species
GCUACGGGUGGCUGCAGUGGGGAAUCUUCCGCAAUGGGCGCAAGCCUGACGGAGCAACGCCGCGUGAAUGAAGAAGGUCUUCGGAUCGUAAAGUUCUGUUCUUAGGGAAGAAGUCUUAGGUUGUGAAUAAUGACUUAAGGUGACGGUACCUAUGGAGAAAGCUCCGGCUAACUACGUGCCAGCAGCAGCGGUAAUACGGAGGGAGCGAGCGUUGUCCGGAAUUACUGGGUGUAAAGGGAGCGUAGGCGGGAUGCAAGUUGGGUGUUAAAUCUACCGGCUCAAAUGGUAGUCGCACUCAAAACUGCAGCUCUUGAGUGAAGUAGAGGCAGGCGGAAUUCCUAGUGUAGCGGUGAAAUGCGUAGAUAUUAGGAGGAACACCAGUGGCGAAGGCGGCCUGCUGGGCUUUUACUGACGCUGAGGCUCGAAAGUGUGGGGAGCAAACAGGAUUAGAUACCCCUGUAGUC